GAGGGUGUAGCUCAAGUGUUAGAGUGUAUGCUUAGCAUGCACAAGGUCCUGGGUUCAAUCCCAGUACCUCCU
rnacentral:tRNA from 1 species